rnacentral:tRNA from 1 species
UUUUUGUAGGUGAAUAACAAUGAGGGUUUUUCAGGCCUUAGGUUCUGUUUAGUGUCCAGAUAAAAAUA